GACGAACGCUGGCGGCAUGCCUAACACAUGCAAGUCGAACGGAGAAUUCCUUCGGGGAUUCUUAGUGGCGAACGGGUGAGUAACGCGUAGGCAACCUGCCCUUUGGAUGGGGACAACAUUCCGAAAGGAGUGCUAAUACCGAAUGUGACGAUUUUACCGCAUGGUUUAAUCGUGAAAGAUGGCCUCUACAUGUAAGCUAUCGCCAAAGGAUGGGCCUGCGUCUGAUUAGCUAGUUGGUGGGGUAACGGCUCACCAAGGCGACGAUCAGUAGCCGGUCUGAGAGGAUGAACGGCCACAUUGGGACUGAGACACGGCCCAGACUCCUACGGGAGGCAGCAGUGGGGAAUCUUCCGCAAUGGGCGAAAGCCUGACGGAGCAAUGCCGCGUGAGUGAUGAAGGUUUUCGGACCGUAAAGCUCUGUUGAGAGGGACGAGAGAUAUAAUCAGGAAAUGGGUUAUAGAGGACGGUACCUUUCGAGGGAAGCCACGGCUAACUACGUGCCAG
rnacentral:rRNA from 1 species